CAGCUCAGUAGUUUUAAACUAAAACACUAGUUUUGGGGAUUAGGGAUCUCUUUGGAGCUGGCUGG
rnacentral:tRNA from 1 species